rnacentral:rRNA from 1 species
UAACGUCAGCGGCAGACGGGUGAGUAACGCGUGGGAACAUACCUUUUGGUUCGGAACAACACAGGGAAACUUGUGCUAAUACCGGAUAAGCCCUUACGGGGAAAGAUUUAUCGCCGAAAGAUUGGCCCGCGUCUGAUUGGCUAGUUGGUGAGGUAACGGCUCACCAAGGCGACGAUCAGUAGCUGGUCUGAGAGGAUGAUCAGCCACAUUGGGACUGAGACACGGCCCAA